rnacentral:rRNA from 1 species
GACGAACGCUGGCGGCGUGCUUAACACAUGCAAGUCGAACGGACAGGCCCUGCUUUUGUGGGGUGCUCGAGUGGCGAACGGGUGAGUAACACGUGAGUAACCUGCCCUUGACUUUGGGAUAACUUCAGGAAACUGGGGCUAAUACCGGAUAGGAGCUCCUGCUGCAUGGUGGGGGUUGGAAAGUUUCGGCGGUUGGGGAUGGACUCGCGGCUUAUCAGCUUGUUGGUGGGGUAGUGGCUUACCAAGGCUUUGACGGGUAGCCGGCCUGAGAGGGUGACCGGCCACAUGGGUACUGAGAUACGGCCCAGACUGCUACGUGAGGCAGCAGGGGGAAAUAUUGCACAAUGGGCGGAAGCCUGAGACAGCAACGCCGCGUGCGUGAUGACGUCCUUCGGGUGGUAAACCGCUGUCGCCUGUGACGAAGCGUGAGUGACGGUAAUGGGUAAAGAAGCACCGGCUAACUACGUG